CUGUGUUUUAGUGUGUGUGUGCCACACAUAUUAGGAGGCCAGAAGGGCCUUGGAUCCUGUUGCUAAAAUUCCUUCCCUCGGGGAGGCAUAAGCAACGUCUGUAUUCCUUCCUUCUCUUCAUGUCUGAACAACAAACAGGUGUGUUGAGUCCACCGAAGUUCACCCUGGAGAAGCAGUGAGUUCACUGGGCUUUCUUAACACAGCACGAAUGAGUGGUUACCUUCUAGGCCAUGAAUGGUCCUCACCUGAGAGACCACUCCAGAAAGUCUUCACCCAGCAGGGACAAGGGUCUUCCUACUGCCGAAUAGAUGGAGCCCCUUCUCCCCAGGCUGCACCUUGUUAGGACAGAGUUGCAUUCAACAGACAGAAAGGGUCUGCUGACUCUCCCCAGUCCUCUAACAGGGAUGCAAACAGCCAAGCAGCCCAGCUUGGAUUUGUGCAAGCCAGACCAGCUGAUUACCUCAAGAACAACGGGUUGUUUGGCUCAGAGGCCAGCCCUGUACAAUAGAUCCCCUGGAACCAAACACCGGUCCUCUGAAAGAGCAGCCGCGCUCGUCUUCCCUGAGCAUCUCUCUGUCGUGUGUGUGUGUGUGUGUGUGUGUGUGUGUGUGCAUGUACUCUUGCUCACGUGAGGAUGUACAGCAUGCCUGUUCUCAUGUAUGUAGAGAACAGAGGACAUCAGGUGUCUCUCGUAUGCUCUCUCUCGUUCCUUAAGACAGGGUCUCUCACUGAAGCUGUAGCUGCUGGGCGACAGGAUCAGUGAGCUCUGCCAAGCUUAUUUCUCUCCACUCCCUCAGCACCAGGGGGACUCGUGCAACAGUGCCCUCCUUGUUACAUGGGGGUUGAGGAUUUGAACUCAUGUCCUCAUGCUUGCACACUACGACUCUAGCCUCCUGAGCCUUCUCCUCAGCCCUCAGUGUGUGUGUUAAUCACCUUUUUGGGUUUGUUUGUUUUGUUUUACUCUAGAAAAACGGGGAUCAGUGGGUGACCAGGGUUAAGGUCUAUACUUAACAAGAAAGGCGUGACCCCUAAAAAUAUGGACUACUUUAUGAAUUUGCAUGGGGGCAUGCUAAUCUACUCUGUAUCCUUCCACACUUGAUCUUAGCCAAAAGGCCGAGAAGCGAUACUCUGUAUCCUUCCAAUUUAGAGUGCUGCCAAAUAGAGCCCUUUAACCCCAUUUUGUACCAUCCCAAGUGCUCCAUGGCCUUAUAUGACUAGUAUCUCCUUACUGGAUAGCAGAGGAUUGCAAUGAAAAAAGUGUUAUCUGAGGCUGAGGGAAACCAUGUUUGUAAACGUGUGCUCCCGGUGUGCUCAGGGUGCAGGAGAUUCAGUUCUUCAUGUGAGCCAGGAAGUAUAGAAGCUAAAGGGUCACUGCUGUUAGGACAAACUGUCUUCUCUGUUCCUUAUACUCCCCUCAAUGUGCACACAGAGCAUCUGCAGUACCGAGAAUGACUGUUGUAGGGGAAUUCCGAGGGAAGCAGCCUGCCUCACUCCCAUACCCCAACCCAGCCCCUUCCUAACAUGUUCGCAGGAAAUCUCUGGUUUUGACAUAAAUUCUGAGUCUCAGAAGGACUCUACUCUCUCCACAGUUCCUUCUCAUAACGUCCAUACACUAGGUGCCACACACCAAAUGUUUUUAUUUUUACAACAAUUGUAGCCAAAGCCACCAAUAUCUCGGAUUUUCUAGGACGUAAAUUUUUGAACAGUUUCAUUCUGAAAACCAGGACCAUCCUAUGGCUUCUAUAGGGAAAUACUGGAGAGUCACAGCCAGUUCCUACCAAUGGGUGCCGCCGGCUCCUGCAACUUGAACUUGGUUUUCUAUAAAUGGUACCAGGACAGUCUCCUCUGCUGUGUAGCAGCGGAUGGUAUUCAUGAAGCCUCCUUGGUGCACCUGAGAUCCAAGGAGCAAGAAGCGACUUAAAAGUUGCAUACAGCCUUUUAAGGAUAGUUUUGGCAGACCGGUACCGUACGGUACUAAGAAACUGUACUGGACUCUGGAGGAGUGUACCUCAGCCAUUGGGACCCCAGCCAGGUGCUGAUGCACACGCGAUAGGGGAGACAAUGGCCUUUACUGUGACUGUUCUGAUGCUCUUGUCACGUUCUCUAAUCUCCAACGGAAAGUAUUUACUUUCAAGGUCUAGGCCUGUCUGAAGUGAGAUGAGGCAGAGCUUUGGCAGAGGGCUGAGCUUCCACAGUGACUGCAGGGAAACCUCCCACUGUGUCCCCGGGGCCAGGCCCCUUCCCUCGGGAAGGGCAGCGGAAGGCAGCGGGGAGCUGGAGAGAGCGCUGGGGGCUGCGUCACCCACGCUUCCCCCGGCUGUCAGCGCCCCGGCCUCGCAGGUAGAGACGCCCCCUCCCGCGGUUCGCGGGGCCGGGGAGGAGGGGCUGGGCUCCGAGCGCCCGCCCCUCCAUCUAUCACAUGGCCGGAGAGUCACAAAAACAACAGCUUUGGCUAAGACCGUGACUUCAGGAAGGGAGCCCAGGGCCCUCGCCGGCAGCCCCCUCCCCAUGGAGGACAGUUUUUUGGAAUCGUUCGGGAGGCUGAGCCUCCAACAGCGGCAGCAGCAACCGCCUCCUCGGCCGCUGCCCGCGCGGGGGCCACCUCCGCGCCGCCACAGCUUUAGAAAACACCUCUACCUCCUGCGCGGCCUCCCGGGCUCGGGAAAAACCACGCUGGCCAGGUAUUGUUAGAACUCAGAGGGUAGCUCACACACAUCUCCUUUAUCCACAUUUCAUACCUCAGCAAGAACUAGUUGCUCAGAUGGGUCCUUACAGAGAUCAGAGCUCCGAGGAAUGGGACCCAGGACAGACAGCUGCAGCGCGACUACCCCAGAGCCCUGAUUUUCAGCACGGAUGACUUUUUCUUCAGGGAAGAUGGCACCUAUGAGUUCAACCCCAUCUUCUUGGAGGAAGCUCAUGAAUGGAACCAGAAAAGAG